ACAAAAACACAUAAACAAUCAAUCAAACACGAAACAAAACAAAUCCAAAAUAUAGUGUUCAGUCCAAUUAUACAGUUCAAAAUAAAAAAUGCGAAAAAAUAAAUCCUAUUCUAACCUACACUAAUCCUAAACUAUGCUCCAGUGCUUUACCUGAUGCCUCGAUCCUUCGUCACGGGCGUCUUCCGAGUACAAAAUACCGCGGGGCAUUUCCCGGCGAAUAAACACAAAUAUCUCAGGGCAUUUUCCGCCAAAUAAUACAUUUGAUCCAAAAGCAAUAAAACCAAGCCAUUCAACACAUGUUUCGAGCAUUCAACAUUCCACAAUUCCUAAAACUUGCCAACCCGAACCUACUAUUUGCCUACCCAACUCGAUCUAUCAUGGCACUAUCACGAUCGACGACGUCAAUGAAUCAAAACAACAAAAAAAUUAAAAUUAAUCCUAAUUAAGAUUAGCAAUUUUUCAAUUCCGCUCCAAAUUCAUUCUCAACCAAUGAUUAACACAUGCAUCGAUUAUCAAUUCAUUUUUCAACAUUCAAAUCCAACAUCAACCAAUACACAAUCAAGAUUCAAACAUACCAACACAUAAAUCAUUCACGAUUACGUAAAAAUUAAAAAAAGAGGAGAUAGAAUUGGACCUCAGUGCUUUCAAAAAUCGAUGUAUUAUUUCGAUUAACCUGGUAGAAUCCGCAUCCAAAAUCCUCGAACAAAACCCUCCAUCACGAUCAAGAAUCCAACUCGGUAUCAAGAAAGUGAACCCAAAACUGAUUACGGUGAAUUGAUUGGGACGAAACAGAAUCUAAAUCCAAAAAUCAGUUCAAAGACAGAUGAGCCAAGACCAAAAUUGCAACAGAGUAAAUCGAACCCGUCAAAAUUCUCAGCAAACAAACUCACAACUUGAACAAAAAACCCCCAAAAACCCGAACUUACCCAAACAAUCCCACUGAACCUUUUCGAUUUUUAUCUUUUUCCGAUGAAAGUUGACCAGAAUAAAAUGAAACGACUCAAAGUUUUAUGGAUUAGACGGCUGACUUACUUUUCGACGAGAUUCAGAUGGAAAAUCGGGAUCGGUAUUAACUUCUUGAUGCGAGCAUGGUUGGAACGAGAUUAGCGGAGCUUUCUCGGUGGCAAUUCUAGUGAGUCACCAGCGAGAGCUUUGUCGGAAAGCAGUCCAAUUGCCUCUCUGUCUCUCUCUCAAUCUCUCUGGUUUGCUUAAAUCUCUCUUACCUUCAACGAUUUCUCACAGUUUCUCUUUUAACUCUCUAUGCCUCUCUCCAUCUCUUACUCUCACUCUCCUCUCUUCCUCUUACUGUGUGUAUUUUUUGAGUUUUCAGUGAGCUGGUGAAAAUGCUAUGCCAGUGGAAUUGGGGAUUUUGUGGUGAUCAGUGAAUAAGAAAAGGAAAAAAAUGGCGCGGUGUGUUCUAUGUUGAGAAAAAAAAGAAUCCAGUGGUGUGUAUAUUCUGUGUAUAUGGAUUGGUCAAGAAGAAAAGAAAAUCCCCUGUACCUGUGUGUUUUUGGAAAAAUGGAUAAGAAGUCCAAAGAGAAAGGAAAAAAAGGCCUCCCCUAAUCUAUUCCAGUGAAUGGAAAUUAUAUUGAUGGAAUGUGGGGUCCAUGAGUGAGGUGUCUAUUUUGAUUGGGUAAGUUAUUAGGAUGAGGUGUAAAGUUGGUUAGGAUAGAAUUAAAACAAGAUAAAAUUUGUUAAGGAUUAUGUUAAGGGUUGUUAUUAUUUUUUUGUAGGGUAUAAUUAUAUGGAUGAGGGUGUACAAUAAAGUGAGGUAAAAAUGAAUAAAAUUAGACUUGGGAGGGAUAAAAUUAGGUAUCUACGACAUGCCCCCUUUGAAUGUAAACAUGAAGUGUUUUCAAACAAAGAAGUAGACAACGAGAUAAAAUUUUGUCCCAACUAUUAUUCAAAAAGAAUGAAAUAGAAAGAAGGAGGAAAACCAAGUCUUGACUUUGGAAAUCAUACUUAUCCCUAGUUAUGGGGGAAUCAAGUCACAGGUAUCCCAAGGACUGAAAGAAGAGGGACUAUACCGAGUUGGAGAGUCGAGCGAGGUUCUGUCGAGGUUCCGAUCUGCGGCUCUGUCAUUACAUCAAAACAAAAAUUACAAGUUAAAACAUAAAUGAAAUUACAAAAGUCCUCUCUAUGC
rnacentral:lncRNA from 1 species